GACGAACGCUGGCGGCGUGCUUAACACAUGCAAGUCGAACGGAAAGGCCCUGCUUUUGUGGGGUGCUCGAGUGGCGAACGGGUGAGUAACACGUGAGUAACCUGCCCUUGACUUUGGGAUAACUUCAGGAAACUGGGGCUAAUACCGGAUAGGAGCUCCUGCUGCAUGGUGGGGGUUGGAAAGUUUCGGCGGUUGGGGAUGGACUCGCGGCUUAUCAGCUUGUUGGUGGGGUAGUGGCUUACCAAGGCUUUGACGGGUAGCCGGCCUGAGAGGGUGACCGGCCACAUUGGGACUGAGAUACGGCCCAGACUCCUACGGGAGGCAGCAGUGGGGAAUAUUGCACAGUGGGCGGAAGCCUGAUGCAGCAACGCCGCGUGCGGGAUGACGGCCUUCGGGUUGUAAACCGCGUUCGCCUGUGACGAAGCGUGAGUGACGGUAAUGGGUAAAGAAGCACCGGCUAACUACGU
rnacentral:rRNA from 1 species